AGGGCAGUAGCUCAAUUGGUAGAGUUGCGGUCUCCAAAACCGUCGGUUGGGGGUUCGAGUCCCUCCUGCCCUGCCA
rnacentral:tRNA from 1 species